rnacentral:rRNA from 1 species
UACGAAGGGGGCUAGCGUUGUUCGGAAUUACUGGGCGUAAAGGGCUCGUAGGCGGCCAACUAAGUCAGACGUGAAAUCCCUCGGCUUAACCGGGGAACUGCGUCUGAUACUGGAUGGCUUGAGAUUGGGAGAGGGAUGCGGAAUUCCAGGUGUAGCGGUGAAAUGCGUAGAUAUCUGGAGGAACACCGGUGGCGAAGGCGGCAUCCUGGACCAACACUGACGCUGAGGAGCGAAAGCGUGGGGAGCGAACAGG